UCCACCCCUGCAGAGAUGUUGCACGCCCU
rnacentral:piRNA from 1 species